GUCCAGACUCCUACGGGAGGCAGCAGUGGGGAAUAUUGCACAAUGGGGGAAACCCUGAUGCAGCGACGCCGCGUGAGUGAAGAAGUAUUUCGGUAUGUAAAGCUCUAUCAGCAGGGAAGAAAAUGACGGUACCUGACUAAGAAGCCCCGGCUAACUACGUGCCAGCAGCCGCGGUAAUACGUAGGGGGCAAGCGUUAUCCGGAUUUACUGGGUGUAAAGGGAGCGUAGACGGCAUGGCAAGUCAGAUGUGAAAGCCCGGGGCUCAACCCCGGGACUGCAUUUGAAACUGUCAGGCUGGAGUGCAGGAGAGGUAAGUGGAAUUCCUAGUGUAGCGGUGAAAUGCGUAGAUAUUAGGAGGAACACCAGUGGCGAAGGCGGCUUACUGGACUGUAACUGACGUUGAGGCCCGAAAGCGUGGGGAGCAAACAGGAUUAGAUACCCUGGUA
rnacentral:rRNA from 1 species